rnacentral:rRNA from 1 species
GGCGUGCCUAAUACAUGCAAGUCGAACGAACUCUGGUAUUGAUUGGUGCUUGCAUCAUGAUUUACAUUUGAGUGAGUGGCGAACUGGUGAGUAACACGUGGGAAACCUGCCCAGAAGCGGGGGAUAACACCUGGAAACAGAUGCUAAUACCGCAUAACAACUUGGACCGCAUGGUCCGAGUUUGAAAGAUGGCUUCGGCUAUCACUUUUGGAUGGUCCCGCGGCGUAUUAGCUAGAUGGUGGGGUAACGGCUCACCAUGGCAAUGAUACGUAGCCGACCUGAGAGGGUAAUCGGCCACAUUGGGACUGAGACAC